rnacentral:rRNA from 1 species
GACGAACGCUGGCGGCGCGCCUAAUACAUGCAAGUCGAGCGAGAAGACGUAGCAAUACGUUUGUAAAGCGGCGAACGGGUGAGGAAUACAUGGGUAACCUACCCUCGAGUGGGGAAUAACUAGCCGAAAGGUUAGCUAAUACCGCGUACGCUCCUUGGACUUCGGUUCAGGGAGGAAAGCGAUACCGUGGGUAUCGCGCUCUUGGAUGGGCUCAUGUCCUAUCAGCUUGUUGGGAGGUAACGGCUCACCAAGGCUUCGACGGGUAGCUGGUCUGAGAGGACGAUCAGCCACACUGGCACUGCGACACGGGCCAGACUCCUACGGGAGGCAGCAGUAAGGAAUAUUGCGCAAUGGGCGAAAGCCUGACGCAGCGACGCCGCGGUGGGGGAU